rnacentral:rRNA from 1 species
CCUACGGGUGACAGCAGUGGGGAAUAUUGCACAAUGGGGGAAACCCUGAUGCAGCGACGCCGCGUGAGCGAUGAAGUAUUUCGGUAUGUAAAGCUCUAUCAGCAGGGAAGAAAAUGACGGUACCUGACUAUGAAGCCCCGGCUAACUACGUGCCAGCAGCCGCGGUAAUACGUAGGGGGCAAGCGUUAUCCGGAUUUACUGGGUGUAAAGGGAGCGUAGACGGCUGUGCAAGCCAGAUGUGAAAGCCCGGGGCUCAACCCCGGGACUGCAUUUGGAACUGUGUGGCUGGAGUGUCGGAGAGGCAGGCGGAAUUCCUAGUGUAGCGGUGAAAUGCGUAGAUAUUAGGAGGAACACCAGUGGCGAAGGCGGCCUGCUGGACUGCAACUGACGUUGAGGCCCGAAAGCGUGGGGAGCAAACAGGAUUAGAUACCCCUGUAGUC